UUUGGGAUCCAUCAGAAAUAGGUAUCUAAAAUGAGAAAGCCACAAACAAAAUAAAUCGAGUUAAAUUAAAGCAAUCUGUAACCUGUAGGAAACAUUCAAGAACCAAACAAAUAAAUAAGCAUUUCUAAAACUAGCAAAUAAUAUGGAAUCUGUAUUUUACAAGGUACUCGGAAUAAAUAACAAUUAUCUAAAGUAACGUCAGUGAGGCAUGAGACA